rnacentral:rRNA from 1 species
UACGUAGGGAGCAAGCGUUGUCCGGAAUUACUGGGCGUAAAGGGUGCGUAGGCGGCGCAGUUAGUCAGAAGUGAAAUAUCGGGGCUUAACCCCGGGGCUGCUUCUGAUACUGCUGUGCUCGAGUGCAGGAGAGGUAAGUGGAAUUCCUAGUGUAGCGGUGAAAUGCGUAGAUAUUAGGAGGAACACCAGUGGCGAAGGCGGAUUGCUGGACAGUAACUGACGCUGAGGCGCGAAGGCGUGGGUAUCGAACAGG